GUGUUGUGUUGAGUCUGACUGAUCGAGGCAACACGCGGAGCGCUAGUCGUUCAAAAUAGCCUUGUGGAAGUUCCCCGGACAUCCAACAGAAAGUGUUGUGAUCUAGUUUCAUCAGCCUCAGCUAAAGUGUUGUCGUUUGAAGGGACCCCAUCAUAGGGUGAUUGGACACACAGGCUUGAGUGCACUGGUCAGAGCAAAGAUGCAAUGUCAGAGAGAUUGUUUGGAACUCAACGGGGGCUACUCCAACAAAACA
rnacentral:RNase_MRP_RNA from 1 species